rfam:Bacilli bacterium VT-13-104 contig029, whole genome shotgun sequence.
GAAAACUGAAGAAUCCUUGAGGGUAAUGAAAGCCGUCAUGCUGUGCUGAAACCCUCACACUAAUACUCCCCUAAGCAGGGAAGCAGACUAUGGUGGAACUGUUUAAAGCGGGGUGAAGUCGGCGAAAGUGAACAGGAAUUAAGAACUGUCACUUAGAGUAGUCGGGUGGUUGUAAU